rnacentral:rRNA from 1 species
UACGUAGGCAGCGAGCGUUGUUCGGAGUUACUGGGCGUAAAGGGUGUGUAGGCGGUUCUUUAAAUUUGGUGUGAAAUCUCCCGGCUCAACCGGGAGGGUGCGUCGAAUACUGAGGGACUAGAGUGCGGGAGAGGAAAGUGGAAUUCCUGGUGUAGCGGUGAAAUGCGUAGAUAUCAGGAGGAACACCGGUGGUGUAGACGGCUUUCUGGACCGUAACUGACGCUGAGACACGAAAGCGUGGGUAGCAAACAGG